GGACGAAUAAGGUCCUCCUUAAUGCAGCCAACGGAGGUCACAAGCCCUCGAAUAAUGCAGAGUGAGGA
rnacentral:ribozyme from 1 species